GGCAAUUGGCGGGAUGCCUUACCAUGCAGUCGACGGCAGCAUGAUCUAGCUUGCUAGAUUGAUGGCGAGUGGCGAACGGGUGAGUAAUACAUCGGAACGUGCCCUGUAGUGGGGGAUAACUAGUCGAAAGAUUAGCUAAUACCGCAUACGACCUGAGGGUGAAAGUGGGGGACCGCAAGGCCUCAUGCUAUAGGAGCGGCCGAUGUCUGAUUAGCGGUUAGUUGGUGGGGUGAAAAAGGCCCACCCCAAGGCGGACGAAUCCAGUAAGCUGGUCUUGGAGAGGACCGAUUCAGCCACACCUGGGGACUGGAGACACGGCCCCAGACUCCUACGGGGAGGCAGCCAGUGGGGAAUUUUUGGACAAUGGGCGAAAAGCCUGAUCCCAGCAAUGCCGSGUGUGUGGAAGAAGGCCUUUCGGGUUGUAAAAGCACUUUUGGUCCGGAAAGAAAUUCGCACUUACUAAUACUAGGUGUGGAUGACGGUACCGGAAGAAUAAGGACCGGCUAACUACGUGCCAGCAGCCGCGGUAAUACGUAGGGUCCAAGCGUUAAUCGGAAUUACUGGGCGUAAAGCGUGCGCAGGCGGUUGUGCAAGACCGAUGUGAAAUCCCCGAGCUUAACUUGGGAAUUGCAUUGGUGACUGCACGGCUAGAGUGUGUCAGAGGGGGGUAGAAUUCCACGUGUAGCAGUGAAAUGCGUAGAGAUGUGGAGGAAUACCGAUGGCGAAGGCAGCCCCCUGGGAUAACACUGACGCUCAUGCACGAAAGCGUGGGGAGCAAACAGGAUUAGAUACCCUGGUAGUCCACGCCCUAAACGAUGUCAACUAGUUGUUGGGGAUUCAUUUCCUUAGUAACGUAGCUAACGCGUGAAGUUGACCGCCUGGGGAGUACGGUCGCAAGAUUAAAACUCAAAGGAAUUGACGGGGACCCGCACAAGCGGUGGAUGAUGUGGAUUAAUUCGAUGCAACGCGAAAAACCUUACCUACCCUUGACAUGCCACUAACGAAGCAGAGAUGCAUUAGGUGCUCGAAAGAGAAAGUGGGACACAGGUGCUGCAUGGCUGUCGUCAGCUCGUGUCGUGAGAUGUUGGGGUUAAGUCCCGCAACGAAGCGCCAACCCUUGGUCUCUUAUUUGCUACSAAAAGGGGCACUCUUAAAAAAGACUGGCCGGUGAACAACCCGGAAGAAAGGUGGGGGAAUGACCGUCCAAGUCCUCUCUGGGGCCCCUUAUGGGGUAGGGGCUUUCCCACCGUCCUUAACAAUGGUGGGCCUUACCAAAAGGGUGUGCCCAAACCCCCCCCAGGGUGGAGACUUUAAUCCCCCAAAAUGCAAAGGGGUUCCGUUAUUUCCCGGGAAUUCGACUACGUGAAGCUGGAAUCGCUAGUAAUCGCGGAUCAGCAUGCCGCGGUGAAUACGUUCCCGGGUCUUGUACACACCGCCCGUCACACCAUGGGAGUGGGUUUUGCCAGAAGUAGUUAGCCUAACCGUAAGGAGGGCGAUACUCAUCGGCAGGUCAUUCUUGGA
rnacentral:rRNA from 1 species